ensembl:lncRNA
AAUACAUUUUUAAAGUAACCCUCCCAAGCCUGAUGUUACAUUUGUUACACAGUGUGUGUUCAAGUCUCUCCAGCCUGUAACUAUAUGUAUUUGUUUGGUAUCUUUAUGUAAAUAUCCACCAUAUGUCUGAUGUGAUGCAUCUUGGAACAGCACAUCAACAGACCUAUGGCACCAUCACACCCACAACCAAUCAGUUGCCAUGUAUAUAUGAAGUGUGUACAGACACAACUACACCUACAGCUGCAGAUUCUAUUCCUGUGUUAGAUACAGUUUCAUCUGUGGAUACAGUGCCAGCUGUGGAUACAGUUAUAGCUGUGGAUACGGUUAUAGCUGUGGAUACAGUUGCAAAUGCAAAUACUGUUAUAGCUGUAGAUACUGUGCCAGGUCUACAUCUACCUGCAGUUCCAAGUCCACCUCCAGCUGCAGUUGAGGUUCCAGCUCCAGCUGCAGAAGAAGAUAUAACUCCUUCUAUAUCUACAGUAUCUGAUGUACCCACAUAUCUUCCAGCUGGGAAGGUGCUGACAAUUUACAUGUUGCACUGGUAGAUGACCAGAUCCAGAUGCCGCUUGAUUACAUGUUGCCUCUGGUUGAGAAAAUCCACCCGAAUCUGGCCAAUAAGAUCACCUGGAUGCUUUUAGAGGGUGAGAACAACUGCAAGAUCAUGAACAUGAUUGGAGAUCCUGAGCUCCUGAGGUGGAUAUAAUGGACACUCUCUUGAAGGCAAAAGAAGCUAGUCACAAGCCGGAAACUUUGAAGAUGUUUUACAACAACGUCAACAAUAAGAAGAAGAAGAGGAGAAAGAAGAAACAAACAUUCCAUCCAACAAUUCCAACCAUAAUAUAUUGGUCUGAACCUCUACGUGAAGAACCUGGAUGAUAGUGUGGAUGAGGAGUGUCUGCAUACUGUGUACUCGCAAUUUGGAAACAUCGUGAAUGCAAAGGUCGCUUACAACUAAUAAUCCCUACAUUUUAUUCCUUUCCCAAUAACCGGUCCACUUCCACUUACUUACUCUGAAGCGUGUAUCUAGU